GUUUUAUUCCAUCAUCAGGGGUGUUCUCUCCGGGAAAUUUUUCCCUGUGGUUGUCUAUUCACAAUUGUACAAGUUUCCAUUCUUUGACAUGGAAAUACAUGGCAACGCCCACUGGAGUCAGCGAUAGGAAUUUGGCUUUCAUUGCCAUGAAUUGUGCACUUUCACAAAUCCUGAAGGGCUGGAAAGAAAGAGUCAGGCCUGAGCAAAAGUGGCUGACUCUGAUUUCAAGGGUGAGCUUGUGUAAACAUUUCUGAAGCAUGAUUGUUAUUCUUAAACAUUGGAGAAUGGCUUUUAGAAUGAGGAGGGGGAAAUUCUCUCCUUCCCCCAAACGCCAGUGCUUAUGUUUCACUCAUUUGGGUUCUAAGAAACAAAAUCUUUUCCUUUAAAGGGCUUCACGGGGGAGGACCUGAUUGCCAGAGUCAAUGAGGUUUGCCCUCCAGGUUUCGGGGAAUGGAUUCUACCAUGAUGAAGAGACCUGAUCCAAAGGAAUUCUUUGUAGGAAGAAUAAGGAUUUUUCUCCAGCAAGAAGGAAGACAUUACAUAUGUUGCUAUCAUUCCAACUUCUGUUUCGUUAUGUUUUCCUGUAUUUCUGCCACUGCAACUCAGCUGGGUUUGGCCUCUCUUCUUUACCACUAAAGUUAAGUGGUUGCCUUGCUUUUUGGAGAAGGUGUGCCGGCUUUCAGACAGGUGCAGGGGUUAUUUAGCAUUAAAAAGACAUUCCUAUUUUUCCACCCGCAAUGUGGUUUCUGUGUCUGAGCAAAAGGCACAUUUUAUCUGUUGAUGCUGGGUUUGGUUUUUUGAGUGCAUCUCACUAGAAAUGUGUGGGAACAGGGCUCUGUUUAAGGAAAUUGCCGCACUCUGUUGUUAGGGAGAAGCCUUGAAUCCCGUGGAAAUGGACUGCACAGGUCAGGAAUUUCUGCAAAUGUUUCUUUUCCCCAGAAACUAUUGAAACUAAGACUACUGUUUCUCACUCAACUUUUUAAGGAGAUCCUGGAAUACAGGGUGAUAAAACUCUAUCUACAUCAUCAUGAUGGAAAACUUUACAGAUCUAAGCAUAAACGCAUCGAGAGAGGCAUUCGCAGCAAUCUGAUUCUGUCACGCUUGCUGUAUCUGACGAGGGUUUGCUUAUUUUCCAU
rnacentral:lncRNA from 1 species